AGUAGGGAGUGGCCUUUGCACUGGAGUCCUUAAGUAAGGCGCGUCGUUUCUCUGCAGCCGCUCUCGGAAGCCGGAGAAACUGCAUUCACUUUAGCAAGAAGACAGGGAAACUGAAAUUGAUAAUCCCCCGAGUUGGGUUACCUGAUCCAGACAGGAAGCUGGUCUAGGCUUCCCCCGUCACCCGGAGCUCCUGACAAGUGAGCAGGAGGCGGCGGGUGGUUGCCCUAAACUUUGAUUUAUGAAAAAAAAUCAGAAUUCAUCGACAUACCCUGUUACUCGUUGAGCGUUUAAGCCUCUAACUAAAGAAGGUACAGUGGUAGGGAGUGGUAGGGGGGUCGGGAGAGGAGGAAGGGGGAGAAGAAAGAAGACUGACUAUCCCCACGAUUUCCUACCUCGCCUCGCGGGCGCAGGGAGGCUCAGCGAUGCCAC
rnacentral:lncRNA from 1 species